AGUGCCUUCUGGGGUAGAUAAUGAGUUAUUCUGUGCUUCUGAGYCCCUGCUUGCUUGCUGGCUAAAGCCUGAGGAGGGUGAGAUGUGGGUUUUAUUUACUGUCUGGCGAGCUGUAUUAGUCUUUUACCUCCUCUGUGCUGCUGGUGGCCAUAUGGGUGACUCUUCUGGGAACGUGGCUUGAGGACUGGCUGUCGCAGUUUUAGGUAAUGUGUUAACUGAAUGGACUAUUCCUCUGUUYGAGAACAAAUGCCAUGGGAGCUGUAAUUACUCAGGCUGGAUUAUAUCUCCUAAGAUGGAGCAUGCUGAACCUCUGGUUCUGCUAGAUGUGGAUCAUCUCAGGAAUCCCAUGACUGCAGUGUGUGGAUGGAGGCACCAUUAUUAUAAUUUUCAGAAGACACUGAAGCACUUAAGUGGAUAUGGUUCAACAUGAAGAUAGACUUUGAGAAACUGAACGUGACUUGCCCUGACAAGCCAUCUAAUUCAUCUGAGCCAACAGAAGGUGGUGUAAGAGAAACCUUGUAGGCCAGUCAGUGCUGUGGCAGGGUCAGGGCAAUGGAAAUGUCACCAACAGCCUGUGGAAGAGAGGCCCACCAGCUGGUCCACACUGCCUCUGCUCUGAUGCUGCUUUGGUAAAAGGGGUUUAUGUGAAAGGCACGUGGUAAGCAAGCCAUUGGAAAUGGGCUUGGAUACUUGAUUGAGGAAGAAAUAUUUUACAAAGCAAAAUUAAAGAUAUACAGUGAUUUCAUGUCAUCUUGAUCAUACUUUCUUCUAAGAACAACAAAUACGUAACUUUGACUAAUAUUUCAUGAUAAGACUGUGCUUUA